rnacentral:rRNA from 1 species
GAGGAAUAUUGGUCAAUGGACGCAAGUCUGAACCAGCCAUGCCGCGUGCAGGAUGACGGUCCUAUGGAUUGUAAACUGCUUUUGUACGAGAAGAAACACUCCUACGUGUAGGAAUUUGUCGGUAUCGUAAGAAUAAGGAUCGGCUAACUCCGUGCCAGCAGCCGCGGUAAUACGGAGGAUCCAAGCGUUAUCCGGAAUCAUUGGGUUUAAAGGGUCCGUAGGCGGUUUAGUAAGUCAGUGGUGAAAGCCCAUCGCUCAACGGUGGAACGGCCAUUGAUACUGCUAGACUUGAAUUAUUAGGAAGUAACUAGAAUAUGUAGUGUAGCGGUGAAAUGCUUAGAGAUUACAUGGAAUACCAAUUGCGAAGGCAGGUUACUACUAAUUGAUUGACGCUGAUGGACGAAAGCGUGGGGAGCGAA